rnacentral:lncRNA from 1 species
CACGGUCUAUAUGGGUCCAGUGUAACCCCCUGAAUGGGCCCCGAUGCAUGUAGUCGCAUAAACCAGACAUACCAUAAGAGUAGGGGAUUACCAAGUACCCUUUGCUCUCCAUAAUACAUAUGUAUAGUGUACUUAGAGGAUUCCCAUUUACCUCAUAGUAACAUAUAUGGUCUCUAUGACCAACUUCUCAUGUCAGCAAAUAUGAGUUUCCAGUAUCCGUCUAUUGGACUCGCACUUUCACAGUUACUUAUCACACCCC